rnacentral:misc_RNA from 1 species
AUUUUUAAAUACACACACUCAUAUAUAUAUUGAAAUUUCCGUUGCUAAAUUUGUAACUAAAAGACUUAAAUUUAAAAAACUAAUAGGGGGUUCAGUAGAAUGCACCAUAAGUUUGGAUCAAUAAUCAAAAAUCAAAAAGUUGGGAGACUUACUGUUCAGGUUUUCCAAAUUAAUCUGAAAAAAAAAGGGGAUAAUAAGAGUUUCUUAUUCCAUUAUGCAGCAUCUUUGAU